rnacentral:misc_RNA from 1 species
GAUGAAGAACGCAGCGAAAUGCGAUAAGUAAUGUGAAUUGCAGAAUUCAGUGAAUCAUCGAAUCUUUGAACGCACCUUGCGCCCUUUGGCCAUUCCGAAGGGCAUGCCUGUUUGAGUAUCAUGAACACCUCAACUCUUCAUGGUUUUCCAUGAUGAGCUUGGACUUUGGGGGUCUUGCUGGCCUGUGGGUCGGCUCCUCUCAAAUGAAUCAGCUUGCCGGUUUUUGGUGGGCAUCACAGGUGUGAUAACUAUCUACGCUUGUGGUUUUCCACCAGGGUAACCUUCAGCAGUGGAGGUUCACUGGAGCUUACAAAUGUCUCUUCUCUGUGAGGACAGCCCUUUGAAUGUUUGAUCUCAAAUCAGGUAGGACUACCCGCUGAACUUAAGCAUAUCAAUAAGCGGAGGA